GUGAACGCUGGCGGUAGGCCUAACCCAUGCAAGCCGCACGGCAGCACAGUAAGAGCUUGCUCUUACGGGUGGCGAGUGGCGGACGGGUGAGGAAUACAUCGGAAUCUACUUUUUCGUGGGGGAUAACGUAGGGAAACUUACGCUAAUACCGCAUACGACCUACGGGUGAAAGCAGGGGAUCUUCGGACCUUGCGCGAUUGAAUGAGCCGAUGUCGGAUUAGCUAGUUGGCGGGGUAAAGGCCCACCAAGGCGACGAUCCGUAGCUGGUCUGAGAGGAUGAUCAGCCACACUGGAACUGAGACACGGUCCAGACUCCUACGGGAGGCAGCAGUGGGGAAUAUUGGACAAUGGGCGCAAGCCUGAUCCAGCCAUACCGCGUGGGUGAAGAAGGCCUUCGGGUUGUAAAGCCCUUUUGUUGGGAAAGAAAAGCAGCAGGUUAAUACCCCGCUGUUCUGACGGUACCCAAAGAAUAAGCACCGGCUAACUUCGUG
rnacentral:rRNA from 1 species